AAGUACAGUUAGCAACAUACAUACAGAAAGAGAGACAGCACUUCCUUUGAUCUGUCUUUCAAUUGAUGAAAUCUUUUCAAAGAAUCAUAGAAUCACAGACUAUCCUGAGAUGCAAAGGACCCACAAGAAGGGUACUGAGUAUCGUGUAUCACGCAUGCUGCAACAUCUGACCCACAGAUCACAUCUAACAUCAGGAGUCCUCAAAAUAAGGAGCCACUAAAGGCAGAGGAAAGUGGAAAGGGAAGGAAAUAAGAAGAGGGAACUGUAAGGAAGCUGUAACUGCUCACUGCUGUCCAAGUGAUAUGUGUGAUUGCGUGGCUGACUGCUAGCUCUCCAUCAUUUCAUACUGGAAGCACAUUGCCAGCUUCCCAGGCCUGUUAGAGGUAUGAAUAACUGCCCCACUGGAGACAUGAGGGGUCCUCAAUGACUAGUGGGUACUUGCUUGACCACAACCAAGUACAUGCUUAGUGUUUCCCAGAACUAAUAAUUCUGGACUGGAACCCCUCCUUAAUAAGGACUGCUGGAGGGGAAGCUAAGGAAGAAAACCAGAAGCCUAAAGCCGACCAUGGGAAUGAUCAGAAUUCAUCUUGCAGAAGAGUCUAAGAAUUACGGACAUCACUUUCAUGUUAUCUCUUGACUGCCCCCUGAGACAAGCCCCUGUGAUCAUGUGCAUGAGCUUCAAAGGUAUUG
ensembl:lncRNA